AGAGUUUGAUCCUGGCUCAGGACGAACGCUGGCGGCGUGCUUCAUACAUGCAAGUCGAACGAGGUCCAUCGAGUGGCAACACUCGUGAAGACCUAGUGGCGAACGGGUGAGUAACACGUGAGGAACCUGCCCCGAUCUCUGGGAUAACAGUGGGAAACCGCUGCUAAUACCAGAUGGGCUCGGAUGACGACAUCGUCGACCGAGGAAAGCUUUUGCGGACCGGGAGGGCCUCGCGGCCUAUCAGCUUGUUGGUGGGGUAACGGCCUACCAAGGCAUCGACGGGUAGCUGGUCUGAGAGGACGUCCAGCCACACUGGGACUGAGACACGGCCCAGACUCCUACGGGAGGCAGCAGUAGGGAAUCUUGCGCAAUGGGCGAAAGCCUGACGCAGCAACGCCGCGUGGGGGAUGAAGGCCCUCGGGUUGUAAACCCCUUUCAGCAGGAACGAAUCUGACGGUACCUGCAGAAGAAGGUCCGGCCAACUACGUGCCAGCAGCCGCGGUA
rnacentral:rRNA from 1 species